AUCGUCAUUCGUUGGAUAAGCUCAACUAAAUUUUCCAAAUCUUCCUUAGUGUACACUGUACUAGAUAAAUAUGUACGUAUUGACUCAUUCGAUUCUCGGUUGCCUGUUGUAUGUCCUAAGAAUUAUAACUAUACAUCGGCGUUUUCAAAUUGGGGCUCGUUUUCUUCAGCUGCACCAGAAGAUGCCAUUUUAGGAUAUUUGCAAAUAUUUUCUUUUGGAUCUAAAGAGAAUAAACUUGAGCAUAUGAGUUAUUUUAUGAAACAGUCAGCUUAAAAUAAAAUAAAGCGCCUCCUUAGUUA